CGUGAUCCGCCCACCUCAGCCUCCCAAAGUGCUGGGAUUACAGGCGUGAGCCACCGCACCUGGCCAAGAAGCAUUUUCUAAACUAAUCUUCUCCUACAAAUAGCCCCUGGACCUUGAGGAUCAUAAAUGGUCAUCAUUUAACAUUUUUUUCUGCUAGAAGUAUUGAGCCUCUUUGUUGUAUUGAGACCAAAAGAAGAUCUGUCACCCCCCUCCACUCCCCUACAGAUGUACAUACAACUUUCGGCAAUCUCAGAGAGUUUGAAGCUACAAUUCUAUUACAAACGACGUGCUACAAGUAUGCUUUUAAAAUAAAUUAUUUUUCCAGUUUUUUCACUUUAACCUCUGCCCCAGUGGUCGUAAAAACAGAGGCAUGGAGACUGAGUUCUUUUCUGUGGACCAUUAUGCAUCUAUCUUUUCCAAUAGUUUCCUUUGCCUCUGCUCUUUUUUGCUGUACAAAGACAGAAAUUUCUAAACAGAGCCUUUAAUAGUCCAUUACUUUUUACCCAUGUUAUGCAAUGUAGCUUUAAAGACGAACUUUUCCAGCAAACUGCUGCUUGUGUGAAUGCCUGUUUGGGAGUGAGACUUCCCUACUGGAAAAAUAACUAACACACACUACACCAUAGUUACGAUUACAUCACAAUAAAUAUUCUAUGCAGGACUAGGAACAGUUCCUCAAAGAAAAAUGCUUGGGGAACGGGUAAUUGGAAUGAACUACAAGCAUUUUCACUGAGCUCAAAGAAACUGCAAGAAAAAAGAUCUUCGAUCUGCAUCCAAGUAUUUUUUUUGUCUGAAAGAACACUGUGUGAGGAAUUUUGACAUUCUCUGCAUUCUAAUGAAAAUGACUUGGAAAGUAGAGGCUUCUCUAUACAUUUGCCUCAUUGCCGCCACGAUGGGCACCGUUUAUCAGGAAUAAAGAGAGAAGAUCAAGAAAGUAGUUCUUUUCUGGAGAAUUUUGUGCUCUGGCUCUUAAGUACUUUUGCUUUGCCAUGAAUGUGAAUAUUUUAAAGGCCAAAAAAGCCCCCUCCAUUUGAGUUGCAGAUGGCCACAGGAACCCAACAAGAAUGCUAACAACUCAUUUUAAAAAGGGAAAAAGAAAGGAAGUGCCAAGUUCCACACUGCAUAUCCAUACUGAUGUUGAGCCCAUCUUGGCCUAGCUGGUAGAACUGAAAAUUGAGAAUAAUAUUAAGGGGCUGCAAUGAUCCCUAAGGGUAAAAAUAAAUGUGUUUCUGAAAACAACAGCCACAUCCACAAUGAAAUAGACAUGAAACAAGAUAACCCAAGAACACAUUUGUUUUCCUUGUAACAGGGAUGCGUUAAGUUCAUUAUUCAGAGGACUUUGAUUACCCUUUUCAAAGAUUUUUGGUGAGUUUAAUUUUCAAGGCUGUUAACCACUGAUGUCAACUUAAUUAUAGCAAGCAAACAACCAACCCAUAAUGUAUGAUGCCAAUUGUUGGUUUUACUCUAGUCUUGCAUUAGACUUGGAUUUCUUUGCUCAUUUAUAACUUUCUGAGGGAGGAAGGUUUCUGCGCAGUCACUUGCUUUCCCUUAGCUGGUGUCUUUGUUCUCCAGUUUGCCAUGGGGGAUUGAGGGAACAGAUAUUUAUGACUUAUUAUCUCAGUAUUAACAGUGCCCCCUCAAUGAUUUAUGAAGCUGUGCUGUUGCAUUUCUAACCUUGAUGUCCUUCUGAUUAUUGUUCUCAAAUGGUAAGAUUAACACAGUGGGGCCCAAAGAUUCUUAAUCAGUUUCUUGCAUACAAAUUCACCCAAAUGUAGGGAAGAGAGAGUCCUUGGUGGCAUAACGACUUCCAGAUGGAAUGAACUGAGAACAUCUAAGCACUUAACCCAAAGCACCCUUAUAUUUGUCACCAUGAACAUGAUGUCCUCACACUAAAAUUUAGUUAUACUUUUGUAUCUCAGCAUUCAAUGAACUAGAAUUCUAGAAUGGCAUGUACAUCUUGUGUUAAAGUUCAGGACAUUUGUUGGUAUAUGUGUUUCUUUUCUUCCAAAGGGUGACAGUGAUCCAGGAUGAAGGUCCUUUGACUAUACAUUUCAGCGUUCAAUUGAGGUAAAAUAAUGGUGAUUUUCGGGAAAGAAAAAUUAUCCCUGUCCUUUUUCCAGGGGUCCCUGGAGGUACUUUGUUGAAUUUUUCUAAUCUUGUGCAUGGACUUCUCAAAAGCUGAUCUGGCAGACAAUCACAGUUGGCCACUCAGUCACUACCCUUACAGCUACUAGCGGCCAUGAGACAGUGAUCUGACCCAUGAAAUGUAAAGAGAAUUUCUGGGGGGACUUUGGAAACUCUUUUGCGUUCUCAUUAAAAGGCAAAGCUUAAGACACAAGCUCUUUGGUGCCAUCCCUUCCCUUGAACCUGAAUACAGUGAUCAUCUUGUGAUCAAGAGGCAAGAAACCUGAGGACAAAAAGCCAACAUGCUUAGGGAAGUAAGAAGAAAAAUGGAGAAAUUUUGAGUUUUUGAUGACAUCACUGGGCUGUAGGAGCAACCCCAAGAUCACCUAUGUAGACUAUCUUGUUACAUAAACAAGAAAUGCCUUUAUGGUUUAUGUCCCUGCUACUUGCAGCCAAAAACAUUCUUAUGUGAUACAGGAAGCAAGGUCUAGGGUGGAGGCAAGAACAGAAAGGACGGGGGCAGCAGUAAUGGCUGGUAAAUUCUGUUAGGAAGUGUUGCCCCAGAGACUAAUGAAGGGAUGGAAAAUGCUGCUUGAUGCCUAGGAGCUGUUGCAGCCAUAGCUGCCUUGGCCUUCCACCUGAGGAUGAUGCCAGGUUUUGUCAAUAUCAUGACAGUGAUAUUAAUGAUAUUCAACAAAGGGGGCAAGAAUACAAGCAAUUAGUUGAAUUCUUAGAGCUCAGUGAAAGAGUGUAAGGGCAAAGCAGACAGCAGGAGAGUAAAAACGAAGUUUGUUUGCUUCCCUUUGUGGUUUAAUUUGCCCAAACUGAAUGGUUUAGAAGUAUAUCCCUCAGCUGAAAGUCUAACUGCCUGUGUCUUGUGGAACAUACCUGUAUUUGUAACUUGCAUCUUCUGUGUGGGUGAGGACCAGGGGGCAUAAAACCAUGUGGGGGGAUUUUCCUUCUUCCCAAGGGAGAGCUGAUGACCAAGGCUGAAUUCCAAGGUAGCAGAGUUCCAGCUGAGGACUGGCCAGUGGUAACCUGGACCCCAGCUUCCUCAACCACCAUAUAAGCUGGUGUUGUAGAGGUGUGUGUGUGUGUGUGUGUUUCUUGAAAACACUCCUAUUCAAAGCAAAGCCAGGUCAGCCUUAAAAGCAAGCUGACAAAAAGAACUAUAAAACCAGGGGUGGAUUACAUUUCAGAGUGGUUCCUUAAAUUACAACUAUCACUAACAGGCAUUAGUCAGCUAUUUCUAGUUUAACUAAAAAGUAAAAGGUAUAUUCAACUUGUCUUUAUUCUAUUUUUCUUCUUAUGCUAAACAUUUAAGCUCCUUCAUUUCUGCUAUAAUAUUUUGAAAUGGUGAUAAAUCUGUUUUAGCUUGAAACUUGGUUUCUUCAAUAUACGCAGUCAGCAAAUAGUUAUUGCGUGUCUCCAUACCAGUGAGUGUGUGUGUCUGUGUAAGACAGAGGGAAGGUGAGGUAGAGAGAGAAAGAGAGAGAGAGCAUGAGAGAGUGUGCGUGAGAGAGAGCCAACAGCAUCCUUUCAGGAUCUUGUACAUAGAAAUGAAAGCCGUGAAUGAAGCUGUAGUUCAAUUUGAUUAGGAAAAUGCACUCUAAAAUACUGAGAGGAUGUGAUGCCAGGCAAACUGAGCUGCUGGCUGGAGAACACUGAACAAAGAUGAAAUUGUUUCUGGAUCUUAACUCACUCUUAUGCAGAAUGUCUCCUGACUUGCUUUAUCCCUCUUUCCCUUGCAGCAGUCAGUGACAGGCUGGGUGGAAAGUUGUCCUUCCUCUCAGAGAAUGUUAACUCAUCAGCCUCCAGGUGUGGCUCCGGCCUAUUGGCUGCCUUUCCCUUUGAAGGCACAGACACUCUUGAGAGAAUCUUGAGCUGGCUUUGGAGCUGGGACCCCUUUGCACUCCCACUUUGGAUGUCUUCACUGGGUGGCAGACUAGUCAACCCGCUAGGCUCUAGCUAUUUCUGAAUAGGUUCUUUGAAGUUACUGGAGACCCAAGUGGUUUGCUACAUUUUGCAUAAGUAAUAGAACAGUGCAUAAACCCCCUUGCCCAGCAUCACUUAAUACACCUGCUUCUGCUGAUGCUCUUUGAAGAUGCCUCCGUGGAGGGCAUUGCAAACUGCUCUGCACAUUCAUAUUCAACCCGUGUGCAGUAUGCAUGGACCACUGCAGGCUGAGAGCCGCGUGCCUGGCGCGGCCCGCCUCUAGCACUGUCUCCAGUCAUUCCACUGUGCUCACAAAGAAGUCCAAGAAAUAGAAAAACAUAAAAAGCUAUUGUCCAUGUCCAGUGAGAAAUGAAAUGCACUGGACCGCGUAUCACAACUUCCUUAAAAUAAUACAACUUUAUCACUUUUGCAUCUGAUCCUGCUCAUGGUUUGCAAAGUCAUAAACCCCUUGAAAUCAAUAGCUUGAGCCAUCGCUGCUCUAUUCUAUUUAAACACAUCCUCUAAAGAAGCAAUUUAUUACGAACUCUCUAUGGUUUCACCUUAUCUAAAACACUUAAUUCAGUCCAUCUCCUGCUUUGCUUUGUAGUGUUGGAAGCAAUCAGAAGACUGGAAGCAAUUUACUAAUAAGAGAACAUGCCCUACAGCUCUGGCCUGUGAAAAGAGUUUCAGAAUCACGAUGUAGCCACAAGUCAAAUUCUAGAAAGAAUUAAUGGCACAUCUCAUAGUUCUUUCAUUUGCUGGCUGAUUCAUUCCAGAUAUCUGCCCCAGCAAGAGGAAGGACACAUCUACCUAUGGAAUAAAAAACAAAACAAAACAAAAGUGGAAGUGGUAUGGAUGAGCCAUAAAACAUGAUCCUAAGCAAAAGCAGCCAGCCACAAAAGGCCACACAGUAUGAGAUUUCACUUACAGGAAAUGUCCAGCAUAGGCAAAUCCAUAGAAGCAGAAAGCAGAUUAGUGGUUCCCAGGGGCUGGGAAAAGGGGAAAAUGAGGGGUGACUGCUAAUAAAAUAAAGUUUCUUUUGGGGUGAUGAAAUGUUCUUGAACUGGUGGUGAUAGUUACACUUCUCUAUGAAUAAACGAAAAACCACAUAAUUGCAUACUUUAAAGGGUGAAUUAUAUUUCAAUAAAAUUGUUGUUAAAAAUACAAAAAAAGCGGGAAAACAUAGAAAAUGGCACCACAGCGGAAAAAAAAAAAAAAACCUGGAGAAGUGAAAGGUACUUGAAUUCCUGUCCCACUGGCUGUGUGAUCUUGACUUUUCUGUGUCUUAGAUUCACCAACUAUCAAGUGGGGAUAUUAUCUCUUUGUGAACCUUCUAAAUUAACUAUGAGGAUACUACUGUUAGGAACUAAAGGCUGAAUUCAAGGACUCCCUCAUUCUGAGAAAUAUAGAAACAGUGUACAAACUAACUUGUACUAUAAUAUCUGGGCCACCCUUCAGAAGCAGGUAUGGAUAGUGAAUGGGGCAACUCCUGGUGAGCAUCAAGACAGGUUUCCAUGUCUAGCACUGGUUCCUUGAAGAUGGUUAUACUGACCGCAUUUCUCAUUCUCUUGCUGUAUCUCAUAAGAAAACAGUCAGCCUGUUUCUACAUUUUACAAGGGGGGAGGCUAAGCCCCUGGGAUAUUAAGUAAACUCUUUCAAGUUACCAAAUGUGAAGAACCUAGAACAUAGGGGUUCUCUCCCCUAAGGGAGCCAAUACACUUUCCAUUGGACAAGUAAAAAAUAGGGGUUGAAGUGUUGAGUCCUUUUGCACAGUGUGCUAAUAAACCUUUGCUUAGUUUGGACAUUAGAACCUAAGUUGGUCAAUUAGGAAGGAAGGAAGGAAGGUAGGGAGGGCGGGCGGGAGAGAGGGAGGGCAGGCAAGGGUACACUGUCUCUCUCAAAGGCUGUAGAUUCAGAAUUUUUGUUUCAGGAGUAUGUAAGGGAGGCAGAUUUCCUUUUCAAAGUUCAAAGAAAAUGGUAUGUUUUGUUUUCAUACUUCGUUUCAUUUUCACUUGGGAAAAAUGCCCCAGCUUUGAAACCUCUCUGUUUAAACUCAUUAGGAAAACUAUCAAUGACAGCAGCUUUCAUGCAAUCAUAGUGGGAGGAAUUAGUGUUAUGGGAGAGCUGGAUCAAUCUUCAAAUGUUUCAUCUAUGGAGAUGGGAGGUCAGCACCGGCUGCUUGUUCAGCUGGAAAGUUAACAUAAACAAAUA
rnacentral:lncRNA from 1 species